rnacentral:rRNA from 1 species
CCUACGGGAGGCAGCAGUGAGGAAUAUUGGUCAAUGGACGAGAGUCUGAACCAGCCAAGUAGCGUGAAGGAUGACUGCCCUAUGGGUUGUAAACUUCUUUUAUAUGGGAAUAAAACAGGGUAUGCAUACCCUCUUGUAUGUACCAUAUGAAUAAGGAUCGGCUAACUCCGUGCCAGCAGCCGCGGUAAUACGGAGGAUCCGAGCGUUAUCCGGAUUUAUUGGGUUUAAAGGGAGCGUAGGUGGAUUGUUAAGUCAGUUGUGAAAGUUUGCGGCUCAACCGUAAAAUUGCAGUUGAAACUGGCAGUCGUGAGUACAGUAGAGGUGGGCGGAAUUCGUGGUGUAGCGGUGAAAUGCUUAGAUAUCACGAAGAACUCCGAGUGCGAAGGCAGCUCACUGGACUGCAACUGACACUGAUGCUCGAAAGUGUGGGUAUCAAACAGGAUUAGAUACCCCGGUAGUC